ACAGGUGCAAUAAAUAAAGGAGAUUUUAUUGUACAACCAAACCAACAUGUUUAUUGCAAUAUAUGCUGUUUUCUUCUCUUUGGUCACAGAAGCUGUUCUGGGAGUGACACUGGAGCAAAAAGAACUCUUAUGGACAAAAGAGGAGACUAAAACUGUGUAUAUCAGCUGCAAAGUGACCGGAUUAUCCAGUAGCAAUUAUGUCCACUGGUACCAAAAGAAAGACGGUGAAGCUCUCAAAAGGAUCCUAUACGUUAAAAGUGGAGGCUCAACGGUUAAGGAUCCUAACCAUCCUGAAGCAAAGGACUUUGAUGUGAGGACACAGUCUGAGAGUUAUGAUCUGAAGAUAGCAAGCCUGAAGAAAAUUCAUGAAGCAGUGUAUUACUGUGCCAGCUGGGACUCAAGUGGCCACAGUGGCAGUAAAUAUUGACUGCGUGUACAAAAACC